rnacentral:snoRNA from 11 species
UGGUCAUAUACCAAGGCUUUCAGGUCUCUGUGGUACCUGACUUGCUGUGGACUUGACCAGAAAUCAAAAACCAUCCCAGUGGGCUUCUGCAGCAGCCUGCUGAGAAGACCU